rnacentral:rRNA from 1 species
CUGGCAGCUUGCUGCCGGGGUGAGAGUGGCGAACGGGUGAGUAAUGCGUGACCGACCUGCCCCAUGCACCGGAAUAGCUCCUGGAAACGGGUGGUAAUGCCGGAUGUUCCACAUGAGCGCAUGCGAGUGUGGGAAAGGCUUUUUGCGGCAUGGGAUGGGGUCGCGUCCUAUCAGCUUGUUGGUGGGGUAACGGCCUACCAAGGCGUUGACGGGUAGCCGGCCUGAGAGGGCGACCGGCCACAUUGGGACUGAGAUACGGCCCAGACUCCUACGGGAGGCAGCAGUGGGGAAUAUUGCACAAUGGGCGCAAGCCUGAUGCAGCGACGCCGCGUGCGGGAUGGAGGCCUUCGGGUUGUAAACCGCUUUUGUUCAAGGGCAAGGCACGGUUUCGGCCGUGUUGAGUGGAUUGUUCGAAUAAGCACCGGCUAACUACGUGCCAGCAGCCGCGGUAAUACGUAGGGUGCAAGCGUUAUCCGGAUUUAUUGGGCGUAAAGGGCUCGUAGGCGGUUCGUCGCGUCCGGUGUGAAAGUCCAUCGCUUAACGGUGGAUCCGCGCCGGGUACGGGCGGGCUUGAGUGCGGUAGGGGAGACUGGAAUUCCCGGUGUAACGGUGGAAUGUGUAGAUAUCGGGAAGAACACCAAUGGCGAAGGCAGGUCUCUGGGCCGUUACUGACGCUG